rnacentral:rRNA from 1 species
AUUGAACGCUGGCGGCAGGCUUAACACAUGCAAGUCGAGCGGAGUGAUGGUGCUUGCACUAUCACUUAGCGGCGGACGGGUGAGUAAUGCUUAGGAAUCUGCCUAUUAGUGGGGGACAACAUCUCGAAAGGGAUGCUAAUACCGCAUACGUCCUACGGGAGAAAGCAUGGGAUCACUUGUGACCUUGCGCUAAUAGAUGAGCCGAAGUCGGAUUAGCUAGUUGGUGGGGUAAAGGCCUACCAAGGCGACGAUCUGUAGCGGGUCUGAGAGGAUGAUCCACCACACUGGGACUGAGACACGGCCCAGACUCCUACGGGAGGCAGCAGUGGGGAAUAUUGGACAAUGGGGGGAACCCUGAUCCAGCCAUGCCGCGUGUGUGAAGAAGGCCUUAUGGUUGUAAAGCACUUUAAGCGAGGAGGAGGCUCUUUUGGUUAAUACCCAAGAUGAGUGGACGUUACUCGCAGAAUAAGCACCGGCUAACUCUGUGCCAGCAGCCGCGGUAACAC